rnacentral:rRNA from 1 species
UGGCGGACGGGUGAGUAACGCGUGGAAAACCUGCCGUAUACUGGGGGAUAACACUUAGAAAUAGGUGCUAAUACCGCAUAAGCGCACAGCUUCGCAUGAAGCGGUGUGAAAAACUCUGGUGGUAUACGAUGGUUCCGCGUCUGAUUAGCUAGUUGGUGGGGUAAUGGCCUACCAAGGCAACGAUCAGUAGCCGGCCUGAGAGGGUGAACGGCCACAUUGGGACUGAGACACGGACCAGACUCCUACGGAAGGCAGCAG